rnacentral:rRNA from 1 species
UACGUAGGGACCGAGCGUUGUCCGGAAUCAUUGGGCGUAAAGAGCGUGUAGGCGGCCUUUUAAGUCCUGCGUGAAAUCCUGCGGCUCAACCGCAGACGGUCGUGGGAAACUGGAAGGCUAGAGUGAGCGGGAGAGGAGAGUGGAAGUUCCCGGGUGUAGCGGUGAAAUGCGCCAGGAUAUCGGGAAGAACGACCCGUGGCGCAAGGCGGCUAGCUCUGGAACGCAACUGGA